CGCUGAGGGACGAUCGGCACGACCAGCGACCCCAGGUCAGGCGGGGAUACCCGCUGAGUUUAAGCAUAUCAAUAAGCGGAGGAAAAGAAACUAACAAGGAUUCCCUUAGUAACGGCGAGCGAACCGGGAACAGCCCAAGCUUAGAAUCGGGCGG
rnacentral:rRNA from 1 species